GAAGCAGUCGUGAGAUUGGAUACCUCAAGUGUAAUGUGAUUUGUUGCACCCAAGUCAGGGUACCAAAUGGAAUUAGAUUUUGAAGGUGGUGUAGCUCGAAAAGGAAAAUGACCAGAAGAAUUCGAAGAAAACGAACCGCAACAAUGAGCCAUCGUUUGGCAAGAAGGAAUGGUAGAUGAACAUCCAGGACUAUGCAACUGAUGACAAUUCACUUGAACUGAGUUAGACCCUGCAACACCAUAGAAACUCUAAUCAAACAUGUGAUAACAAGUC
rnacentral:lncRNA from 1 species